rnacentral:rRNA from 1 species
GACGAACGCUGGCGGCGUGCCUAAUACAUGCAAGUAGAACGCUGAAGGAGGAGCUUGCUUCUCUGGAUGAGUUGCGAACGGGUGAGUAACGCGUAGGUAACCUGCCUGGUAGCGGGGGAUAACUAUUGGAAACGAUAGCUAAUACCGCAUAAGAGUAGAUGUUGCAUGACAUUUGCUUAAAAGGUGCAAUUGCAUCACUACCAGAUGGACCUGCGUUGUAUUAGCUAGUUGGUGGGGUAACGGCUUACCAAGGCGACGAUACAUAGCCGACCUGAGAGGGUGAUUGGCCACACUGGGACUGAGACACGGCCCAGACUCCUACGGGAGGCAGCAGUAGGGAAUCUUCGGCAAUGGACGGAAGUCUGACCGAGCAACGCCGCGUGAGUGAAGAAGGUUUUCGGAUCGUAAAGCUCUGUUGUAAGAGAAGAACGAGUGUGAGAGUGGAAAGUUCACACUGUGACGGUAUCUUACCAGAAAGGGACGGCUAACUACGUG